rnacentral:rRNA from 1 species
UACAGAGGUCUCAAGCGUUGUUCGGAUUCAUUGGGCGUAAAGGGUGCGUAGGCGGCGUGGUAAGUCGGGUGUGAAAUCUCGGAGCUUAACUCCGAAACUGCAUUCGAUACUGCCGUGCUUGAGGACUGGAGAGGAGACUGGAAUUUACGGUGUAGCGGUGAAAUGCGCAGAUAUCAGGAGGAACACCGAUGGCGAAGGCAGGUCUCUGGGCAUUAACUGACGCUGAGGAGCGAAAGCAUGGGGAGCGAACAGG